GUGAUUGUUGGGAUUGUUGGGAUCUUGGUAUUUCUCAAGAAACAUCAAGAAGGCUACAAGGCAGCAUUAAUGAGUGACAAAGGAUCCUACAGUUCAGGCCCAGGGAGCAAGGAGGCCAUUUAGCAGCCGCCUGGCAGCACAACUUUGGGGCUGCAGACUCCCCAUGUAGGGAGGGAGGAAAGAAGAGCGAUCAACCUUCUGCUGAAUUACGCUGUUCUCUUAGGAGGACCUCUUUAGGCCCUUCCAGCUGGCUGUCACUAGGAUGUAUUUCGGGUCUUUCAUGAGUGCCCUUGUUCAGAUUUUUGCCUGGGAAAAUCAGGGUUUUUUCAUCUGCAGGAGUAAUUCUAGGACCUCCCCUGAGAAGGAAAUGCAGUUGAAUCAUCUGGAGAAUGAAGGAAGGCUUUGCUUUUAUAUGUAGAAUAAACAUCUUGCAAGAAAAACCAUCUUGGAAGGGGCAUUCUGUUCAUUGAUGGGAAGGGAAAAUGCCUCUUUCAGAUGCUAUUUCUGAAGUGUGCUUUGAGAUUUCGUCCAUAAAAAAUAGUUAAUUUUUUAAAAAAUUAAUCUGUUGCCUAAUUAAUUGGAUUAUAUAUUUGAUUUUCCAAAAGUUUAACAAAUAAUCAAUCUACCAACUGAGGGCAGGCUUCAGAUACAGAGAAAGGUACACCUUUUCUAGCCUUCAGUUAAUAGAUUUUUAUAAUUUAGAAAAAUGGAUCAUGAGAUCAGUUGUGCAGCCUUCCUUCCUAACCACUGUGGUUUCCUAGAGAUAUUGGGGGAUAUUUUGAUUCAUCAAAUUAAUUGUUCAGCUUUGCCCAGUCAAGAAAGCCAAUAUGUCUCUUUGAAACUGCAGCUUUCUGUAGAAAAACAUUAAUAUGCAUUCAAGUAUUUCUUAUCCUCUUUUAAUAACUCUAGUAGCUGAGCCAUUUGGAGUUUGCUUUAUAUAAUAUUUCUUUACACACAUAUUGUAAGAUUGCCAAAAUUGUUGGCUGAAAAUAAAUGAUUUUGUUUUCCUCUCAC